UGGUCCCUGAAGGUUUUCAAAAUCACAACCGUACAUUUAUGUGAACAGCUCAAAAAGUAAAAACAAAACAAAAAAACAGCUGAAGUGGACAAACAGUUGGACUCACCCCAGGGCUCUGGCUGACUGGAUGACCUGAUGAGACAAAAUAAAAGUGGGUCAGAUACUUCUGAUGACUGCUUAUACAACGUUGGAGAUUUUCCACCGGGGACAUUCAACAUUCAACAUUCAACAAACACACAUGGGUGCAUCGAGAAAUGUGUCAUCUUUUUUCUGCAUCAUGCUCCGCUCCCGCAGCAUAAUGUGAAAUGUUACAGACACAGGUGCAACAUUGGUGAUAACAAAAAAAAAUCAGGUCACAACCUGCUCCUCUAGUCGGGCCAGUCUUUUCUCCACAGCAUCAGUGCCUGUCUCCUCUUCCCUCUCCAGCCGAUCGUGUAUGGUGGUAACCCUCAGGAAACAAACAAGAACAGUGUUGGUGUCUGGUUAACUUUGAAAACAUUGACUGUAUGUUUCAGCAUUACGAGUAAAACACACAGGCCUAUUUAAAGUGUGAUCUUAUAUAUAUAUAUAUAUAUAUACAGCGGUAACAUGGAUUGUUACACAGCUACAUUAGGCUUAAUUCCUGCAGGAUUUUACUUUUGGGCCGUGUCCAGGAUGCGCCGCUCCAUGCUCUGGCUCUGCUCCUGCUGCGUGGACAGCAGGUAUCUGUCCUUCAUCAAGGCCUCCCAGGACAACAGCUCCUCUUCCUCAUUCACAGGAAAAUUCCCAAAUAUGAUGAGGUACGGCUCAUACACUGCCCCUCGGAGGAUCCAGUCCAGCCGAUUGUCAUUGUGGAUGAGGAUGCCUUGUUUGGCCACACCGUACGCCACCACCCAGAUACUCAGCAGGAACAUGAAGAAGAACAUAUCCAUCAUCUGGAGGACAAAAAUGUAAAUUAAUCUGAAUACUGCAACCACUGACAGAGAGAACAGCCAGAUGUAAAGCAGCACCUCUGCAGGAGAGGGUGUGACCUGGAAGUCGACCAUCAGCACCACAGCAAACAGGAAGAGGAAGGCGAAGUAAGACACAAUAUUCCAGUAGAACUUCACCUGCGGGGAGCUGUACAGGUAGACCAGUCUGGACCAGUUACCCAGAGGGUUCAGGCGCCUCAUGCUGGGGCGAUUACUGUGGACAGAAAGGUCAGAGGUGACUUGAUGUUUUCAUGCUUCACUGGUUACUUUUCUUUCUUAAUUUCUUUCUGACCUGCAAGUGACCACCAAAUUGAAAUCACUAGAGAGUAACAAAAAUGUUGAAGGUGUCUAUAAACUGUCAUUUGUUUUCUGUGUAUUAAGAGGCAACUGUUUACUUUAAUGUGUACUUCAUCUUUCUAUUUUGCUUCUAUUGUGUUAUCUAUUUACUCUGUUAAUCUCUUCCUCUCUCUUUCUGCACUCAUUCAUGUCCCAUUACUGCAUGUUACUAACUUCACUUCUUCCCCGGAGUUCUUGUGCUUUUCUCAUCUUGCAGGUUCUCAUUGAUCCUGGUGGAGCCUCCUGCCAUGGUCCUGUUUGACUGUACACCUGUCUGUCUGUCUGUCUGUCUGUCUGUCUGUCUGUCUGUCUGUCUCUCUCUCUCUCUCUCUCUCUCUCUCUCUCUCUCUCUCUCUCUGUCUCUCUCUCUCUCUCACCCCAACUGGUCGAGACAGACGACCACCCACCUAGAGCCGGAGGAUCUGUCCUAGGUUUCUGCCUUUUAACAGGCAGUUUUUCCUUGCCCUUGUUGCCAAGUGCUUGCUCAUGGUGGUACUGUUGGGUCUCUGUAAAUUAUGUUAUAAGGAGUUCGGUCUAGACCUGCUCUAUUUGAAAAGCUGUUAUGAAUUGGCGCUUUACAAAUAACAGUGAAUUGAACAUUGAAUCUUUUUGCGCAGCACUUUGGAAACCUUGUGUUUAAAAUUGUUAAAAUUGUGCUAUGUAAAUAAAGUGGAUUGGAUUGGAUACUUACUAGCUAAG